GGAAGAGAAUCGCACCCGGUGGUGCGGCCGGACUUCAAAUCCGGUGUGGGCCAUUCGAUGGUCCUGUGUGGGUUCGACUCCCACUCUCUUCCGCCA
rnacentral:tRNA from 1 species